GUUAAACUCAAAAAGGCAAAAACACAUGGGUAAUUCUAAAACCCAUGUGCUUUUGCCGUUUUGAGUUUAUUUCAAAAGACA